AACGAACGCUGGCGGCGUGCCUAACACAUGCAAGUCGUGCGCGAAAGUGGCUUCGGCCACGAGUAGAGCGGCGAACGGGUGAGUAACACGUGGGUAACCUGCCUAGAUGUGGGGGAUAGCUUGGGGAAACUCGAGCUAAUACCGCAUAAGUCGGCUCGGCUGCGGCUGAGUCGGGAAAACUGGCCUCUGCUUGCAAGCUAGUGCUUCUAGAGGGACCCGCGCCUGAUUAGCUAGUUGGUGGGGUAACGGCCUACCAAGGCGACGAUCAGUAGCCGGCCUGAGAGGGCGAUCGGCCACACUGGGACUGAGACACGGCCCAGACUCCUACGGGAGGCAGCAGUGGGGAAUAUUGGACAAUGGGCGAAAGCCUGACCCAGCAACGCCGCGUGGAGGAAGAAGGUUCUCGGACCGUAAACUCCUGUCAGGUGGGAAGAAAAGGCGUCGAUGAAUAGUCGGCGCCGUUGACGGUACCACCAGAGGAAGCCCCGGCUAACUCCGUGCCAGCAGCCGCGGUAAUACGGGGGGGGCUAGCGUUAUUCGGAAUUAUUGGGCGUAAAGGGCGCGUAGGCGGCUUGGCAAGUCAAAGGUGAAAUCCCUCGGCCCAACCGAGGAACUGCCUUUGAAACUG
rnacentral:rRNA from 1 species